CAGUAGCCGCGGGAAUACGAAGGGGGCUAGCGUUGCUCGGAAUGACUGGGCGUAAAGGGCGCGUAGGCGGCGGCCAAAGUCAGGCGUGAAAUUCCCGGGCUCAACCUGGGGGCUGCGUUUGAUACUUGGUUGCUUGAGUGGGGAAGAGGGUCGUGGAAUUCCCAGUGUAGAGGUGAAAUUCGUAGAUAUUGGGAAGAACACCGGUGGCGAAGGCGGCAACCUGGUCCUUGACUGACGCUGAGACGCGAAAGCGUGGGGAGCAAACAGGAUUAGAUACCCCGGUAGUCCCUGUCUCUUAUAC
rnacentral:rRNA from 1 species